CAAAGUUUUGUCGUAGGAUAGUUGGUCGCUGUGCUGAAAAUCUUCCAGAACCUGUUCCUGACCUACGCUCCUAAGCACAGAUCUAGGAUCAGCUCAUCCUCAUCAAGUCCAAACCAGGACAUUAACAAACCACAAGGGGAACACUGACCUCAGACCAGCGUUUAAACCCCACGUCUUCCUGCCAAGACACUGACACUCCGUCCAGAAUUCCUCUGCGCUCCAGCCGUCCAUCCAUCCAUCCAUCCAUCCUUCCUUCCUUCCAUCCAUCCAUCCAUCCUUCCUUCCAUCCAUCCAUCCAUCCGUCCAUCCACACCCCAGCCAGCCAGCCAUGGGUCUGAUGAGUGAGGACAUGGAGUGCUGUGUCUGCCUCCAGCUCUACUCUCGCAGGGAGAAGAUCCCUCGGAUGCUCCACUGUAAGCACACAUUCUGUGGGCUGUGCUUGCAGGCGAUGUCCAGGCUCCAAAGCGGCCUACUGACAGUUUGCUGCCCCCUGUGCCGUUGGAUCACCUGCACCGAGCCCAGCCUCACCCUGCCGGGGUCGCUGUGGGUUAACACUGAGAUCUGGGACCAGAUACUAGACAGACAACAGGAAGAGAAGGAGGAGGAAGAGGAGGAAGAGUGGAAGGGAGCUCACAGACAGACACAGCCCACUACACAGUACACAUGUUCUCCAUCAAGGCAUUGUGGCCUGAGGCUCAAACUACAGAAUUUCCUGAGGAGGAUGAAGCACAAUGUAUUGUAAACCGAGAAGACGAAGAGCAGAGAAAGAAGACUGGAUUUUCCCAUCUCAGAGCAGGAGAUACUCAUUGUGUAAUGAAGCUAAUUCAUAAAACAGGACCAACAGGGGAUGUUCCAUAAUGAAGCAAGAUUGAAUCAAUUAUUCAUAUGCUUUGUGUUUGAUUGACUUUGGGUAUGUGUAAUGUUCUCAGUCAACUUACCUGGUAAAAUAAGGGUUAAAUUAUAGUAUUAAUCAUAAAGGAUGGAUAGGUGGAGGAAAUAAAAAAUAAGAUAAUAAAUGGAUUGAGGAAUAAAGAAAGAUAAAGGAAGUUAUGAACAGACAGACAGACAGACAGACAGACAGACAGACAGACAGACAGACAGACAGACAGACAGACGGGUGAAGGUUAGAGACUGUGUGCUGUACAAUGUGUGCUGUGUACAAUACAAUAUGCUGUGAACAAUGUUUAGAUAGAUAUUUACAUAUUUACAUAUUUAUGCUUAUUUAUUUUCCCAUGACAUUUGUAAUGUCUUUAUUGUUUUGAAACUUUUUAUUGGUUAUUUCACUUUUGUAUAUUAUCUACUUCACUUGCUUUGGCAAUGUUAACACAUGUUUCCCCUGCCAAUAAAGCCCCUUGAAUUGAAAAGAUAGAUAGAUAGGUAGAUAGAUAGAUGGGUGUAGGUUAGAGACUGUGUGCUGUACAAUGUGUGCUGUGUACAAUACAAUAUGCUGUGAACAAUGUUUAUAAUAGAUGUUUAAUGAUUUGAUAGAAGGUGUAUUACUGCGUGAAGGAAGUGGAGGUUUAGUAUUUAUUAUGACAUCAUUUUAGAACAGCUUCAAUGUUGCAGGUUGUUUAUUUUAUCAAUGUCAUUGUCUGCAUCAUUUCCAGUCCCCCAAAUCAGGGAUGUUGGAUUUGUUUAUCCUCAUUGGACAUGUUUAAUUCAUCUGUUCUGUUUGAAGAGCAGGUUUUUUAUACUGGAAUUAUAUGUAUUGGUUAAUAAAUACAUCCACUUUAAAAUAACCCUGUCUUAGAGUUGUGAAAUUGCUUAUUGUUACCAUUACAUUAGGAGAGUAACUGUCUAAUAUCCACCUAGUUAUGGACCCCAAAUAGAGUUGGGGGUGUUAAUACACUUCAGAUUGUGUCUGAAAUGGACCCUAUUCAUUAUAGUAUACUACUUUUGACCAGGGCCCAGCUAGUACAGUUAUAGCAUACUACAUUUGACCAAGGCCAGGCAAGUACAGUAUAUAGU